rnacentral:tRNA from 1 species
GGUGCGGUAGUGUAAUGGUAUCACAACACGUUGUGGCCGUGUUAAUCUGAGUUCGAUUCUCAGCCGCGCCA